UGCCUUGUGGGAGAUAACACAUAUCUCCGAAUUCAAAGGAUGCCACUAUGGCAACUGGAAGAGAACUGACGGCAAUUAAAUAUGCGUAAUGAUAAAAAUGUCGGAUUUACAGAAAAAUGACAAGUUAAGCUGUUGACAGAAAAAAGAAAAAAGUUGAUUAUUCCACGCCUGGACCAGAUUGGCUGGCUUGCCGACGGUCAUUAAAACCACGGAAUACCUCUGAGAUGCUGUACCCAGCAAGAAACAUCAUUAUGGCAUCUGGGGCAAGCUUAUCAGUAUCUGGUCUUGGAUUACAAAGCAGGAAUGAGUACAAAAAACGCACAGCUGGUCACAGCAUAGACUGGUACAUCUUGUCUGGAAAGGAAUGUGACAAACCUGUGUCCCUGUUGGAAACCAUCUUACCUGCAUAAUCCUCGGUACCAUAGUCAUCGGUGGGGUCUUCUACUCGGCUAUAGCGGACACGUUCUACUUUAGGAAACUCAUUGGUUG